rnacentral:rRNA from 1 species
GUACACACCGCCCGUCGCUACUACCGAUUGAAUGAUUUAGUGAGGUCUUCGGACCGGUGCGCGGCUUCCGUCUCGUGCGGUCGCUGAUGUCACUGGAAAGAUGACCAAACUUGAUUAUUUAGAGGAAGUAAAAGUCGUAACAAGGUUUCCGUAGGUGAACCUGCGGAAGGAUC